rnacentral:rRNA from 1 species
AGAGUUUGAUCCUGGCUCAGAGCGAACGCUGGCGGCGUGCUUAACACAUGCAAGUCGAACGGGUGUAGCAAUACAUCCGUGGCGAACGGGUGCGUAACACGUGAUAACCUUCCUUCAGGUGGGGAAUAACCCAGUGAAAAUUGGGCUAAUACCGCAUAACAAGACGAGGGCACAUGCUUUUGUCUUCAAAGGCGCAAGUCGCCAGAAGAGGGAUCCGCGGCCGAUUAGCUAGUUGGCGAGGUAAUGGCUCACCAAGGCAAUGAUCGGUAGCCGGAUUGAGAGGUUGGCCGGCCACACUGGAACUGAGACACGGUCCAGACUCCUACGGGAGGCAGCAGUGGGGAAUCUUGCACAAUGGACGAAAGUCUGAUGCAGCAACGCCGCGUGGGGGAUGAAGCUUCUCGGAGUGUAAACCCCUUUCGACCCGGAAGAAUGCCCGCAAGGGUUUGACGGUACGGGUAUAAGAAGCCCCGGCUAACUACGUGCCAGCAGCCGCGGUAAUACGUAGGGGGCCAGCGUUGCUCGGAAUUACUGGGCGUAAAGGGUCCGUAGGCGGUGUGGCAAGUCGGGAGUGAAAUCUCUGGGCUUAACCCAGAGGCUGCUUCCGAAACUGCCGUGCUAGAGUGUGAGAGAGGCGAGUGGAAUUGCGGGUGUAGCGGUGAAAUGCGUAGAUAUCCGCAGGAACAUCCGAGGCGAAAGCGGCUCGCUGGAUCACAACUGACGCUGAGGGACGAAAGCUAGGGGAGCAAACAGGAUUAGAUACCCUGGUAGUCCUAGCCCUAAACCAUCAGGACUUGGGGUUUGCCCUGUACGGGGCAAGUCCCGUAGCUAACGCGUUAAGUCCUGCGCCUGGGGAGUACGGUCGCAAGACUGAAACUCAAAGGAAUUGACGGGGGCCCGCACAAGCGUGGAACAUGUGGUUCAAUUCGACGCAACGCGAAGAACCUUACCUGGGCUUGAACCGCACAGGACCAGUUUGAGAAAUCAGACCUUCCCGCAAGGGACCUGUGUAGAGGUGCUGCAUGGCUGUCGUCAGCUCGUGCCGUGAGGUGUUGGGUUAAGUCCCGCAACGAGCGCAACCCUUACUCAUAGUUGCCACCCGCAAGGGGGAACUCUAUGAGGACUGCUCCGGAUAACGGAGAGGAAGGUGGGGAUGAGGUCAAGUCAGCAUGGCCUUUAUGUCCAGGGCCACACACGUGUUACAAUGCGCGCCACAAAGCGUUGCAAACCCGCGAGGGGGAGCUAAUCGCAAAAAAGCGCGCUCAGUUCGGAUUGCAGUCUGCAACUCGACUGCAUGAAGCCGGAAUCGCUAGUAAUGGCGCAUCAGAACGGCGCCGUGAAUACGUUCCCGGGCCUUGUACACACCGCCCGUCACAUCACGAAAGUGGGCUGUACUAGAAAUCGCCGUGCCAACCGCAAGGAGGCAGGCGCUCAAGGUAUGACUCAUGAUUGGGGUGAAGUCGUAACAAGGUA